rnacentral:rRNA from 1 species
GACGAACGCUGGCGGCGUGCUUAACACAUGCAAGUCGAACGGAAAGGCCCUGCUUUUGUGGGGCGCUCGAGUGGCGAACGGGUGAGUAACACGUGAGUAACCUGCCCUUGACUUUGGGAUAACUUCAGGAAACUGGGGCUAAUACCGGAUAGGAGCUCCUGCUGCAUGGUGGGGGUUGGAAAGUUUCGGCGGUUGGGGAUGGACUCGCGGCUUAUCAGCUUGUUGGUGGGGUAGUGGCUUACCGAGGCUUUGACGGGUAGCCGGCCUGAGAGGGUGACCGGCCACAUUGGGACUGAGAUACGGCCCAGACUCCUACGGGAGGCAGCAGUGGGGAAUAUUGCACAAUGGGCGGAAGCCUGAUGCAGCAACGCCGCGUGCGGGAUGACGGCCUUCGGGUUGUAAACCGCUUUCGCCUGUGACGAAGCGUGAGUGACGGUAAUGGGUAAAGAAGCACCGGCUAACUACGUGCCAGCAGCCGCGGUGAUACGUAGGGUGCGAGCGUUGUCCGGAUUUAUUGGGCGUAAAGGGCUCGUAGGUGGUUGAUCGCGUCGGAAGUGUAAUCUUGGGGCUUAACCCUGAGCGUGCUUUCGAUACGGGUUGACUUGAGGAAGGUAGGGGAGAAUGGAAUUCCUGGUGGAGCGGUGGAAUGCGCAGAUAUCAGGAGGAACACCAGUGGCGAAGGCGGUUCUCUGGGCCUUUCCUGACGCUGAGGAGCGAAAGCGUGGGGAGCGAACAGGCUUAGAUACCCUGGUAGUCCACGCUGUAAACGGUGGGUACUAGGUGUGGGGUCCAUUCCACGGGUUCCGUGCCGUAGCUAACGCUUUAAGUACCCCGCCUGGGGAGUACGGCCGCAAGGCUAAAACCCAAAGGAAUUGACGGGGCCCCGCACAAGCGGCGGAGCAUGCGGAUUAAUUCGAUGCAACGCGUAGAACCUUACCUGGGUUUGACAUGGAUCGGGAGUGCUCAGAGAUGGGUGUGCCUCUUUUGGGGCCGGUUCACAGGUGGUGCAUGGCUGUCGUCAGCUCGUGUCGUGAGAUGUUGGGUUAAGUCCCGCAACGAGCGCAACCCUUGUUCACUGUUGCCAGCACGUUAUGGUGGGGACUCAGUGGAGACCGCCGGGGUCAACUCGGAGGAAGGUGGGGAUGACGUCAAGUCAUCAUGCCCCUUAUGUCCAGGGCUUCACGCAUGCUACAAUGGCUGGUACAGAGAGUGGCGAGCCUGUGAGGGUGAGCGAAUCUCGGAAAGCCGGUCUCAGUUCGGAUUGGGGUCUGCAACUCGACCUCAUGAAGUCGGAGUCGCUAGUAAUCGCAGAUCAGCAACGCUGCGGUGAAUACGUUCCCGGGGCU